AGCUCGAUGGCCGAGUGGUUAAGGCGUUGGACUUAGGUUCCAAUGGACCGAAGUCUUCUAGGUUUCGAUCCCCACUCGCGCGA
rnacentral:tRNA from 1 species